AGUGAACGCUGGCGGUAGGCCUAACACAUGCAAGUCGAACGGCAGCACAGUAAGAGCUUGCUCUUACGGGUUGCGAGUGGCGGACGGGUGAGGAAUACAUCGGAAUCUACUUUUUCGUGGGGGAUAACGUAGGGAAACUUACGCUAAUACCGCAUACGACCUACGGGUGAAAGCAGGGGAUCUUCGGACCUUGCGCGAUUGAAUGAGCCGAUGUCGGAUUAGCUAGUUGGCGGGGUAAAGGCCCACCCAGGCGACGAUCCGUAGCUGGUCUGAGAGGAUGAUCAGCCACACUGGAACUGAGACACGGUCCAGACUACUAAGGGAGGCAGCAGUGGGGAAUAUUGGACAAUGGGCGCAAGCCUGAUCCAGCCAUACCGCGUGGGUGAAGAAGGCCUUCGGGUUGUAAAGCCCUUUUGUUGGGAAAGAAAAGCAGCAGGUUAAUACCCCGCUGUUCUGACGGUACCCAAAGAAUAAGCACCGGCUAACUUCGUG
rnacentral:rRNA from 1 species